AUGAACUGGACCUGGAGAAUUAUCUUCCUGGUGGCAGUGGCUGCAGGUGUGAACUCCCAGGUGCAGCUGGUGCAAUCAGGGGCUGAGGUGAGAAAACCUGGGACAUCAGUGAAGAUCUCCUGCAAGGCGUCCGGAUACACCUUCACCGACUACGGGAUGAGUUGGGUGCGGCAGACCCCGGGACAAGGAAUUGAGUGGAUGGGAGACAUAAACACUAAGAAUGAUGGUACAAACUAUGCACCGAAGUUCCAAGGCAGACUCACACUUACUGCAGACAGGUCCAAGGACACAGCCUACAUGGAACUGAGCAGGCUGAGCACUGAGGACACGACCAUGUAUUACUGUUUACCAUAG